AAUACUUGUGGCCCGUCUCUCCCAGGUUGCCCUCUAGGAUGCCCACCUGGGAACAGCACAACUCAGGUGCGGCUGUACACACUUGAUGUGUUUGAAGGAUUCGUCACUGUACAAACACUGCAGGGUCACGGGGCGCUGGAGCCUAUCCCAGCUGACUUGGGGCGAAAGGCGGACUACACCUUGAACUGGUCACCAGUCAGUCGCAGGGCACAUAUAGACACGGACAACCAUUCGCACUCACACCAUCACCGAGUGGGAACUGAACCCACGCUGCCCGCACCAAAGUCAGGCGAGUGUACCGCUACACCCUCAGUGACACUCUGAAAGUAAUUCAUGUAAAUUUUUAAAGUUUAAAAAUGCAUUUGCUUAUAAUUAGGGAAGCUACUAAUGAUUAUUUUAAUUAUCGAUUCAUCUGUCCAUUAUUUUUGGAUUAUUCAAUGAAUCCGAUUUUUUUUUUAAACUAUAAAUAUCUAUUCCUAAUUCAAAAACAGGACAUUUCAAAUUAACAGUGCAGAAAAUAUACAAUUAUGAUUUGUUUACUGGUUUGGUUUGUAACGUCAGAAAAAAAAGACAAAAAUGUGGAUUAGUCUGUUCCAAAGUACAAACAGAUGUUUGCAUCCAUCCAUUUUCUACACCGCUUAUCGUCAAUAGGGUCGCAGAUAUGCUGGAGACUAUUCCAGCUAACUGCGAGCGAGGUGGGGCUUGAAUCAACCGACCAUGAAUGUUUUUGAAAUGUGGGAGGAAACGGAGUCACUGAUGGUGUAGUGGUACACUCGCCUGACUUUGGUGCAGGCAGCGUGGGUUCAAUUCCCACUCAGUGACGGUGUGAAUGUGAGUGCGAAUUGUUGUCCGUGUCUAUACGUGCCCUGCGACUGACUGGCGACCAGUUCAGGGUGUAGUCUGCCUUUCGCCCGAAGUCAGCUGGGAUAGGCUCCAGCGUCCCGUGACCCUAACCAGGAUAAGUGGUGUUGAAAAUGGAUGGAUGGAUGGGAGGAAACGGAAGUACCUGGAGAAAUCAAAAGAGUUAUAAAAUAGUGUGUGUUCGAUUAAUUUGAUAAUCGAUUUGCUGUUGAUUAUUCGAUUAAUUGUUGCACCUCUAUUUAUAAUGUAUCAUAUGAUGUUGGAGAUUAUUUGUUAAUGCUUUAAUCCCAUUUAUAUUGUCAUUAUUUAUAAAAAAAAAAAUCUACGAAAUCUAC